CCUACGGGCGGCUGCAGUGGGGAAUAUUGCACAAUGGGGGAAACCCUGAUGCAGCAAUGCCGCGUGAAGGAAGACGGUUUUCGGAUUGUAAACUUCUGUUCUUAGUGAAGAAUAAUGACGGUAGCUAAGGAGCAAGCCACGGCUAACUACGUGCGAGCAGCCGCGGUCAUACGUAGGUGGCAAGCGUUGACCGGAAUUACUGGGAGUAAAGGGAGCGUAGACGGGUGUGCAAGCCUGAAGGGAAAGGCGGGGGCUCAACGUCGGGAUGGCUUUGGAAACUGUACGGCUAGAUUGCAGGAGAGGUAGGUGGAAUGCAUGGUGUAGCGGUGAAAUGCGUAGAGAUUA
rnacentral:rRNA from 1 species